AUACGGAGGAUCCGAGCGUUAUCCGGAUUUAUUGGGUUUAAAGGGUGCGCAGGCGGCCAUUUAAGUCAGCGGUUAAAUCGUGGGGCUCAACCCCAUUCUGCCGUUGAUACUGGGUGGCUUGAUUGCGGUCGAGGUUGGCGGAAUUCGUUGUGUAGCGGUGAAAUGCAUAGAUAUGACGAAGAACACCGAAUGCGUAGGCAGCUCGCCAUGCCUGCAUGGACGCUCGGGCACGACAGCGUGGGGAUCGAACAGGAUUAGAGCCCCUGGUAGGCCACGCCGUAAACGAUGGGCGCGCGUCGUCGGCGACAGACAGUCGGCGGCCAAGCGAAAGCGAUAAGCGCCCCACCUGGGGAGUACGGUCGCAAGGCUGAAACUCAAAUGAAUUGACGGGG
rnacentral:rRNA from 1 species